UGGAAUGAAAUGGUUAAAGAUGGAGAAAUUGUAUACACUGGAACAGAAUCAACCCAGAACGGAUAGCUCCCUCCUGGAAAAGCUUUUGUCUGGUCCUCUGAGCCCCAGUGAGAGUUUCCUGAGGUACCUCACCCUUCCACAAGACAACAGGCUUGCCAUUGAUCUGCAACAAAUGGCGGUUGUUGUCAUGGCCCAUUUAGACCGUCUGGCUACACCCUGUAGAUGCCUCCUCUGUGUAGCUCUCCGACGUCUCAUAAGAGUCAUUUUUUACAGGUCAGAACUGUAGAAAUAAUGAGAAAGUGACACUUGUACGCAUAGCUGAUUUGGAGAACCAUAAUAACGAUGGAGGCUUCUAGACUGUGAUUGACGGGAAAGUGUAUGAUAUAAAGGACUUCCAGACACAGUCGUUAACAGAAAAUAGUAUUCUUGCUCAGUUUGCAGGGGAAGACCCAGUGGUAGCUUUGGAAGCUGCUUUGCAGUUUGAAGACACCCGGGAAUCCAUGCACGCAUUUUGUGUUGGCCAGUAUUUGGAGCCUGACCAAGAAGGCGUCACCAUACCAGAUCUGGGGAGUCUCUCCUCACCUCUGAUAGACACAGAGAGGAAUCUGGGCCUGCUUCUCGGAUUACACGCUUCCUAUUUAGCAAUGAGCACACCGCUGUCUCCUGUCGAGAUUGAAUGUGCCAAAUGGCUUCAGUCAUCCAUCUUCUCUGGAGGCCUGCAGACCAGCCAGAUCCACUACAGCUACAACGAGGAGAAAGACGAGGACCACUGCAGCUCCCCAGGGGGCACACCUGCCAGCAAAUCUCGACUCUGCUCCCACAGACGGGCCCUGGGGGACCAUUCCCAGGCAUUUCUGCAAGCCAUUGCAGACAACAACAUUCAGGAUCACAACGUGAAGGACUUUUUGUGUCAAAUAGAAAGGUACUGUAGGCAGUGCCAUUUGACCACACCGAUCAUGUUUCCCCCCGAGCAUCCCGUGGAAGAGGUCGGUCGCUUGCUGUUAUGUUGCCUCUUAAAACAUGAAGAUUUAGGUCAUGUGGCAUUAUCUUUAGUUCAUGCAGGUGCACUUGGUAUUGAGCAAGUAAAGCACAGAACGUUGCCUAAGUCAGUGGUGGAUGUUUGUAGAGUUGUCUACCAAGCAAAAUGUUCGCUCAUUAAGACUCAUCAAGAACAGGGCCGUUCUUACAAGGAGGUCUGCGCUCCUGUCAUCGAACGUUUGAGAUUCCUCUUUAAUGAAUUGAGACCUGCUGUUUGUAAUGACCUCUCUAUAAUGUCUAAGUUUAAAUUGUUAAGUUCUUUGCCCCAUUGGAGGAGGAUAGCUCAGAAGAUAAUUCGAGAACCAAGGAAAAAGAGAGUUCCUAAGAAGCCAGAAUCUACGGAUGAUGAAGAAAAAAUUGGAAACGAAGAGAGUGAUUUAGAAGAAGCUUGCAUUUUGCCUCAUAGUCCAAUAAAUGUGGACAAGAGACCCAUUGCAAUUAAAUCACCCAAGGACAAAUGGCAGCCGCUGUUGAGUACUGUUACAGGUGUUCACAAAUACAAGUGGUUGAAGCAGAAUGUGCAGGGUCUUUAUCCGCAGUCUCCACUCCUCAGUACAAUUGCUGAAUUUGCCCUUAAAGAAGAGCCAGUGGAUGUGGAAAAGAGAAAGUGCCUACUAAAAGUUGGAGAGAGCAGAGGUUCGCCUGGAAGGGAUAGAUACAAUUUUAAAAUUGUAUCUGGUGAGCAAGAAUUUCUUACUUCCAUCUGUGCCGUAUGCGAUGUUUUGUGGAUGGCAAAGACUUAUUCCUGAGGGAAUCGAUAUAGGGGAACCUCUUACUGAUUGUUUAAAGGAUGUUGAUUUGAUCCCGCCUUUUAAUCGGAUGCUGCUGGAAGUCACCUUUGGCAAGCUGUACGCUUGGGCUGUUCAGAACAUUCGAAAUGUUUUGGUGGAUGCCAGUGCCAAAUUUAAAGAGCUUGGUAUCCAGCCGGUUCCCCUGCAAACCAUCACCAAUGAGAACCCAUCGGGACCGAGCCUGGGGACCAUCCCGCAAGCCCACUUCCUCCUGGUGAUGCUCAGCAUGCUCACCCUGCAGCACAGCGCAAACAACCUUGACCUCCUGCUCAAUUCCGGCACGCUGGCCCUCGCUCAGACGGCACUGCGCCUGAUUGGCCCCAGUUGUGACAGCGUUGAGGAAGAUAUGAAUGCUUCUGCCCAAGGUGCUUCUGCCACAGUUUUGGAAGAAACAAGGAAGGAAACGGCUCCUGUGCAGCUCCCUGUUUCAGGGCCAGAACUGGCUGCCAUGAUGAAGAUUGGAACAAGGGUCAUGAGAGGUGUGGACUGGAAAUGGGGCGAUCAGGAUGGGCCUCCUCCAGGCCUAGGCCGAGUGAUUGGUGAGCUGGGAGAGGACGGGUGGAUAAGAGUCCAGUGGGACACAGGCAGCACCAACUCCUACAGGAUGGGGAAAGAAGGAAAAUACGACCUCAAGCUGGCAGAGCUGCCAGCCCCUGCACAGCCCUCAGCAGAGGAUUCGGACACAGAGGACGACUCUGAAGCCGAACAAACUGAAAGGAACAUUCACCCCACUGCAAUGAUGUUUACCAGCACUAUUAACUUACUGCAGACUCUUUGUCUGUCUGCUGGAGUUCAUGCUGAGAUCAUGCAGAGUGAAGCCACCAAGACUUUAUGCGGACUGCUGCGAAUGUUAGUGGAAAGCGGAACGACGGACAAGACAUCUUCUCCAAACAGGCUGGUGUACAGGGAGCAACACCGGAGCUGGUGCACGCUGGGGUUUGUGCAGAGCAUCGCUCUCACGCUGCAGGUGUGCGGCGCCCUCAGCUCCCCGCAGUGGAUCACGCUGCUCAUGAAGGUCGUGGAAGGGCACGCACCCUUCACUGCCACCUCGCUGCAGAGGCAGAUCUUAGCUGUGCAUUUGUUGCAAGCAGUCCUUCCGUCAUGGGACAAGACCGAAAGGGCGAGGGACAUGAAAUGCCUCAUGGAGAAGCUGUUUGACUUCUUGGGGAGCUUGCUCACUAUGUGCUCCUCUGACGUGCCGUUACUCAGAGAGUCCACGCUGAGGCGGCGCAGGGUGUGCCCGCAGGCCUCGCUGACUGCCACCCACAGCAGCACACUGGCGGAGGAGGUGGUGGCACUGCUGCACACGCUGCACUCCCUGACUCGGUGGAAUGGGCUCAUCAACAAGUACAUCAACUUCCAGCUCCGCUCCAUCACCCACAGCUUUGCGGGAAGGCCUUCCAAAGGGGCCCAGUUAGAUGACUACUUCCCUGAUUCCGAGAACCCUGAAGUGGGGGGCCUCAUGGCGGUCCUGGCUGUGGUUGGAGGCAUCGAUGGUCGCCUGUGCCUGGGCGGCCAAGUUGUGCACGAUGACUUUGGAGAAGUCACCAUGACUCGCAUCACCCUGAAGGGCAAAAUCACCGUGCAGUUCUCUGACAUGCGGACGUGUCGCGUUUGCCCAUUGAAUCAGCUGAAACCACUCCCUGCCGUGGCCUUUAAUGUGAACAACCUGCCCUUCACAGAGCCCAUGCUGUCUGUCUGGGCUCAGUUGGUGAACCUCGCUGGAAGCAAGUUAGAAAAGCACAAAAUAAAGAAAUCGACUAAACAGGCCUUUGCAGGACAAGUGGACCUGGACCUGCUGCGGUGCCAGCAGUUGAAGCUAUACAUCCUGAAAGCAGGUCGGGCGCUGUUCUCCCACCAGGAUAAACUGCGGCAGAUCCUGUCUCAGCCAGCUGUUCAGGAGACUGGAACUGUUCACACAGAUGAUGGAGCAGUGGUAUCACCUGACCUUGGGGACAUGUCUCCUGAAGGGCCGCAGCCCCCCAUGAUCCUCUUGCAGCAGCUGCUGGCCUCGGCCACCCAGCCGUCUCCUGUGAAGGCCAUAUUUGAUAAACAGGAACUUGAGACUGCUGCACUGGCCGUUGUGGAGUCCACUCACCCUUCGAGCCCAGGAUUUGAAGACUGCAGCUCCAGUGAGGCCACCACGCCUGUCAACGUGCAGCACAUCCGCCCUGCCAGAGUGAAGAGGCGCAAGCAGUCGCCCGUUCCCGCUCUGCCGAUCGUGGUGCAGCUCAUGGAGAUGGGAUUUCCCAGAAGGAACAUCGAGUUUGCCCUGAAGUCUCUCACUGGUGCUUCCGGGAAUGCGUCCGGCUUGCCUGGUGUGGAAGCCUUGGUCGGGUGGCUGCUGGACCACUCCGACAUACAGGUCACGGAGCUCUCAGAUGCAGACACGGUGUCCGACGAGUAUUCUGACGAGGAGGUGGUGGAGGACAUGGAUGAUGCCGCCUACUCCAUGUCUACUGGUGCUGUUGUGACGGAGAGCCAGACGUACAAAAACCGAGCUGGUUUCUUGGGUAAUGAUGAUUAUGCUGUAUAUGUGAGAGAGAAUAUUCAGGUGGGAAUGAUGGUUAGAUGCUGCCGAACAUACGAAGAAGUGUGCGAAGGUGAUGUGAUGUUGGCAAAGUCAUCAAGCUGGACAGAGAUGGAUUGCAUGAUCUCAAUGUGCAGUGUGACUGGCAGCAGAAAGGGGGCAUCUACUGGUUUAGGUACAUUCAUGUGGAACUUAUAGGCUAUCCUCCACCAAGAAGUUCUUCUCACAUCAAGAUUGGUGAUAAAGUGCGGGUCAAAGCCUCUGUCACUACACCAAAAUACAAAUGGGGAUCUGUGACUCAUCAGAGUGUGGGGGUUGUGAAAGGUGUGAUGGAUGUCAGAUGUUUCCUAUCAAUGGAUCCAGAUUCAAAUGCAGAAACUGUGAUGACUUUGAUUUUUGUGAAACGUGUUUCAAGACCAAAAAACACAAUACCAGGCAUACAUUUGGCAGAAUAAAUGAACCAGGCUUCAGCAGAAGAAACACUUCCUAUAAAUCUCGCCCAAACAGGAAAGGAGAAGCAUUAGGGUGUCCGACUACGUGGGUUUCAUAGCUGUGGAAAAGCCAAAGGGGAGACUCCUGAAGAAAGGCGGUGAAGACUGUGAAGAGCGGGUCAGGAAGAUGAGCACAGCACUGCUACUCCUGUGGGCACAGGGACAGCAUGUCUCCAGCCAGCGCCACCUUGUUUAAUACAUGGGAACUCACUGAAAUUCAUUCUGUAUUUUGCCCGCAAAGUUUUAAAGAUUUCAUCCACAGUCAGGAAUUAAACUUAUACCAAUGAGAGCCUCACACAUUCAAGGAUGUACUAAGCACUACAGGCCUCACAGAAACAGAGAUCCCAUCUUGGAGUUUUCAGUACCACAUGGGAGAUAAAGGGUUUUGAACAUGAAAUGACAAAAACAACAGCAAGAAGAAAAUUCUUGUCCUUUUUCAUUACUAUCAGACUCAAAUAAAUGUCUUGGCUCUUACAUUACAUUCAUUCUUCAACCAUUGUGGUCUGGCUUCCACUUCCUUCACUUCACCAACAUGGCUCUGCCAAAGGAAGCCCGUGAUCUCUAGGCCAUCACUUUAAUUGAUCUCUCUACAACAUUUAUCCUGGUUGUUAAGCCCUCCUUACAACAUUCUUCUCUCUUUGUUUUUAUAGCUCCAUCUCUCCUGCUUCUUUAACUUGAUAAUGCAUACUUGAUUUUUCUAUUUGUUAUUUCAUAAACCAAUUAAUACACAGAUAAAAUGACUGUAUAUCAAACCAUGUUUGUAUAGAAAAAAUGGAUUUUGGAUGCCUCUCAUAUGUAAUUAGUUCUAUUAAACAUAUUAAUUGUAUUGUUUAAUUUGUCAGGUUUUUGACAGAAUUUUGUUUACAAGUAAUAAAAAUUUUAUCUCCAAUUUUC
rnacentral:misc_RNA from 1 species